CUUUGACCUCACCUAUAUCGAAGGCGGUGACCAAUGAACCAGCAGAUAUAACCUUAGAGGAAACGAUCACGGAACUGCCGGAACGCGUCACGACGGAAGCUAGCAGUAUUCAAAGGGAAUCUACUUUGAAGAUGGCAUUUACACGGUCACUUCCAUAUGGUACCGACAUGAAGUCCAACAUAUUAAUUUCCACCGAGAAGGAUGCGGGUAGUGUUAUGGGUCUGGAUUGAGGAUGGCCACAUCAGUUUGUUCCAGUAGAAGAGAUAUGCAAACUCUGUUCGUCUUUUUUGUCCGAGCCAAUGUUUCAUCCAGGUCAAAGAGGAAAAUCACACCUGCAUGUUAACAGAAAUGAAUCCAUUAAAAGAGAUCGAAAUUAAAGUGAAGUUUUGCAAAGAAAUAACAAGUGCAGAGCCAUGCAUCAAUCAAUCCCCACAGAAAUUGAUAACAUAUACCAAAGAAAACGAGCAACAUGGCAGCAUGAUUUCGUUAGAGGAAAAGGCGGUUUACACCAGAAAUGGAAAUGCAUUCAAGAUCAAGAUUGAAGAAUUGCCGCCAAUAAUGCCUGAUGCCAUGCGAAAUGAGAGCGCUAUGAACUCCGAACACGAGAAACAGAGUGCCAUUUUAAAAUCUUUGGAGUAUGACGGUGAUCCAGCAAAUUACACCAACUCAUAAAGGAAAAACAACUGGAUAUAGAGAAUCUUAAAGAAAUGUCUUUUGAAGCGAUAAAAGAUAUAUGCGAACAAUGUUCCAUUUCCACUCAGAGAAAAUCAAAGUGUACUGUCGCAUCAAUGUUUCUUUGCUUGACUGAGUCAGUACGAGAUGCUGUAGACUUGUAUUUGUCAAUGAAAUACCACCCGAUACUCUUUAUCAACGACACACCAUGUGGGUUAGCACGCGGCAUAUAGAAUGUAGAUUUCCAGAUAUCUGCACAGACUUAUGAGGAAACAUAGGUGGUUGUUUUGAAACACCAACAACUGAAAGGGAUCCGAUUCAGAACCACAACAUUCCAGCAAUCGUGCCGCCUGAAUACAAAAUGGACGGUACUGUAUACAUCGAGGCCGAAGAUAGUGCAUAUGUCGACCCUGCUACUGGUUCAACUGACCG
rnacentral:lncRNA from 1 species